CCCAGCCCAGCUGCGGGCUCAGAGGCAGAGCUCGGGGCGCGUCCACCAUGGCCUGGACCCCUCUCCUGCUGCCCCUCCUCACUCUCUGCACAGGCUCCGUGGUCUCCUAUGAACUGACCCAGCCGACUUCAGUGUCAGUGGCCUUGGGACAGACGGCCAAGGUCACCUGCCAGGGAGACAACCUAGGAAGCUCUUAUGUUCAGUGGCACCAGCAGAAGCCGGGCCAGGCCCCUGUGACGGUCAUUUAUCAGGAUAGUAAGAGGCCCUCGGGGAUCCCUGACCGGUUCUCUGGCUCCAACUCGGGGAACACGGCCACCCUGACCAUCAGCGGGGCCCGGACCGAGGACGAGGCCGACUAUUACUGUCAGUCAGCUGACAGCAGCAAUAAUCCUCACAGUGACACAGACAGGCGGGGAAGCGAGACACAAACCCUCCCAUGCUGCUCACGCUCUCCUCCAGCCCCGGGAGGACUGGGGACACCGCAGGGACAGGCCUGGCCCGGGUCUCCCCGGAGCUGAGCCCCCAGGCGGCCC